AGAGUUUGAUCCUGGCUCAGGACGAACGCUAGCGGCGUGCCUAACACAUGCAAGUUGAGCGCGAAAGGGGGGGCAACCCUCCGAGUAGAGCGGCGCACGGGUGAGUAACACGUGGGUAAUCUACCCUCGAGUCUGGAAUAACCUGCCGAAAGGCGGGCUAAUACCGGAUAAGACCACGCUACGUAGGUAGUGAGGUUAAAGGCGGGGAUCCUUCGGGACCUGUCGCUUGUGGAUGAGCCCGCGUCCCAUCAGCUAGUUGGUAGGGUAAUGGCCUACCAAGGCUAAGACGGGUAACUGGUCUGAGAGGACGAUCAGUCACACUGGCACUGGAACACGGGCCAGACUCCUACGGGAGGCAGCAGUGGGGAAUAUUGCGCAAUGGGCGAAAGCCUGACGCAGCGACGCCGCGUGAGGGAAGAAGGCCUUCGGGUCGUAAACCUCUGUCGGGAGGGACGAAAUUUCGAGCGGUCAAUAACCGCGCGGAUUGACGGUACCUUCAAAGGAAGCAUCGGCUAACUACGUGCCAGCAGCCGCGGUAAUACGUAGGAUGCAAGCGUUGUUCGGAAUUACUGGGCGUAAAGAGCGCGUAGGUGGCCUGUUAAGUCAGGGGUGAAAGCCCUCGGCUCAACCGAGGAAUUGCCUCUGAAACUGACAGGCUUGAGUACGGGAGAGGGGAGUGGAAUUCCUGGUGUAGUGGUGAAAUGCGUAGAUAUCAGGAGGAACACCGGCGGCGAAGGCGGCUCCCUGGACCGAUACUGACACUAAGGCGCGAAAGCGUGGGUAGCAAACAGGAUUAGAUACCCUGGUAGUCC
rnacentral:rRNA from 1 species